AAUGAACGCUGGCGGCGGGCCUAACACAUGCAAGUCGAGCGGAUGACGGGAGCUUGCGCCUUGAUUCAGCGGCGGACGGGGGAGUAAUGCCUUGGAAUCUGCCUGGUAGUGGGGGACAACGUGUCGAAAGGAACGCUAAUACGGCAUACGUCCUACGGGAGAAAGCAGGGGACCUUCGGGCCUUGCGCUAUCAGGUGAGCCUGGGUCGGAUUAGCGAGUAGGUGAGGUAAUGGCUCACCUAGGCGACGAACCGUAACAGGUCUGAGUAGGAUGAUCAGUCACACUGGAACUGAGACACGGUCCAGACGCCUACGGGAGGCAGCAGUGGGGAAUAUUGGACAAUGGGCGAAAGCCUGAUCCAGCCAUGCCGCGUGUGUGAAGAAGGUCUUCGGAUUGUAAAGCACUUUAAGUUGGGAGGAAGGGCAGUAAGCGAGUACCUUGCUGUUUUGACGUUACCGACAGAAUAAGCACCGGCUAACUCUGUGCCAGCCGCCGCCGUAAAAC
rnacentral:rRNA from 1 species